rnacentral:rRNA from 1 species
GAUUUCUUCGGAAUGAAGUUUUUGCGACUGAGUGGCGGACGGGUGAGUAACGCGUGGGUAACCUGCCUCAUACAGGGGGAUAACAGUUAGAAAUGACUGCUAAUACCGCAUAAGCGCACAGUGCUGCAUGGCACAGUGUGAAAAACUCCGGUGGUAUGAGAUGGACCCGCGUCUGAUUAGCUAGUUGGUGGGGUAACGGCCUACCAAGGCGACGAUCAGUAGCCGGCCUGAGAGGGUGAACGGCCACAUUGGGACUGAGACACGGCCCAAACUCCUACGGGAGGCAGCAGUGGGGAAUAUUGCACAAUGGGGGAAACCCUGAUGCAGCGACGCCGCGUGAGCGAAGAAGUAUUUCGGUAUGUAAAGCUCUAUCAGCAGGGAAGAUAAUGACGGUACCUGACUAAGAAGCCCCGGCUAACUACGUGCCAGCAGCCGCGGUAAUACGUAGGGGGCAAGCGUUAUCCGGAUUUACUGGGUGUAAAGGGAGCGUAGACGGCAAGGCAAGUCUGAUGUGAAAACCCAGGGCUUAACCCUGGGACUGCAUUGGAAACUGUCUGGCUCGAGUGCCGGAGAGGUAAGCGGAAUUCCUAGUGUAGCGGUGAAAUGCGUAGAUAUUAGGAAGAAC